rnacentral:rRNA from 1 species
AUUGAACGCUAGCGGGAGGCUUUACACAUUCAAGUCGAACGAGUGGCGGACGGGUGAGUAAUAUCUCGGAACGUGCCCAAUGGCGGGGGAUAACUACUCGAAAGAGUAGCUAAUACCGCAUCCUAUCAGAGCUGCCCAUAUGUGAUUAGCUAGUUGGUGGGGUAAAGGCUCACCAAGGCAAAGAUCCCUAGCUGGUUUGAGAGGAGGACCAGCCAAACUGGAACUGAGACACGGCCCAGACUCCUACGUGAGGCAGCAGUGGGGAAUUUGGGACAAUGGGGGAAAGCCUGAUCCAGCCAUCCCGCGUGUAUGAGAAGGCCUUCGGGUUGUAAAGUACUUUUGGCAGGGAAGCGGUACCCGCAGAAGAAGCACCGGCUAACUACGUGCCAGCAGCCGCGGUAAUUC